AGAGUUUGAUCCUGGCUCAGGAUGAACGCUGGCGGCGUGCUUAACACAUGCAAGUCGAACGAACCUUCGGGUUAGUGGCGGACGGGUGAGUAACGCGUGGGAAUCUGCCCUCAGGAGGGGGAUAACGGUUGGAAACGGCCGCUAAUACCCCAUAUGCCGAGAGGUGAAAUGAAUUUCGCCUGAGGAUGAGCCCGCGUCUGAUUAGCUAGUUGGUGAGGUAAGAGCUCACCAAGGCAUCGAUCAGUAGCUGGUCUGAGAGGAUGAUCAGCCACACUGGGACUGAGACACGGCCCAGACUCCUACGGGAGGCAGCAGUGGGGAAUUUUCCGCAAUGGGCGAAAGCCUGACGGAGCAACGCCGCGUGAGGGAUGAAGGCCUCUGGGCUGUAAACCUCUUUUAUCAAGGAAGAAGAUCUGACGGUACUUGAUGAAUAAGCCACGGCUAAUUCCGUGCCAGCAGCCGCGGUAAUACGGGAGUGGCAAGCGUUAUCCGGAAUUAUUGGGCGUAAAGCGUCCGCAGGCGGCCCUUCAAGUCUGCUGUUAAAAAGUGGAGCUUAACUCCAUCAUGGCAGUGGAAACUGUUGGGCUUGAGUGUGGUAGGGGCAGAGGGAAUUCCCGGUGUAGCGGUGAAAUGCGUAGAUAUCGGGAAGAACACCAGUGGCGAAGGCGCUCUGCUGGGCCAUCACUGACGCUCAUGGACGAAAGCCAGGGGAGCGAAAGGGAUUAGAUACCCCUGUAGUCCUGGCCGUAAACGAUGAACACUAGGUGUCGGGGGAAUCGACCCCUCCGGUGUCGUAGCCAACGCGUUAAGUGUUCCGCCUGGGGAGUACGCACGCAAGUGUGAAACUCAAAGGAAUUGACGGGGGCCCGCACAAGCGGUGGAGUAUGUGGUUUAAUUCGAUGCAACGCGAAGAACCUUACCAGGGUUUGACAUCCUGCGAAUCUCUUGGAAACUUGAGAGUGCCUUCGGGAGCGCAGUGACAGGUGGUGCAUGGCUGUCGUCAGCUCGUGUCGUGAGAUGUUGGGUUAAGUCCCGCAACGAGCGCAACCCACGUCUUUAGUUGCCAGCAUUUAGUUGGGCACUCUAGAGAGACCGCCGGUGAUAAACCGGAGGAAGGUGUGGAUGACGUCAAGUCAUCAUGCCCCUUACAUCCUGGGCUACACACGUACUACAAUGCUACGGACAAAGGGCAGCAAGUUCGCGAGGACAAGCAAAUCCCAUAAACCGUGGCUCAGUUCAGAUCGUAGGCUGCAACUCGCCUACGUGAAGGAGGAAUCGCUAGUAAUCGCAGGUCAGCAUACUGCGGUGAAUACGUUCCCGGGCCUUGUACACACCGCCCGUCACACCAUGGAAGUUGGCCACGCCCGAAGCCGUUACUCCAACCCUUGUGGAGGAGGACGUCGAAGGUGGGGCUGAUGACUGGGGUGAAGUCGUAACAAGGUAGCCGUACCGGAAGGUGCGGCUGGAUCACCU
rnacentral:rRNA from 1 species